UACGGGGGGGGCAAGCGUUGUUCGGAAUUACUGGGCGUAAAGGGCUCGUAGGCGGCCAACUAAGUCGGACGUGAAAUCCCCAGGCUCAACCUGGGAACUGCGUCCGAUACUGGAUGGCUUGAAUCCGGGAGAGGGAUGCAGAAUUCCAGGUGUAGCGGUGAAAUGCGUAGAUAUCUGGAGGAAUACCGGUGGCGAAGGCGGCAUCCUGGACCGGCAUUGACGCUGAGGAGCGAAAGCAUGGGGAGCGAACAGG
rnacentral:rRNA from 1 species